GAUAACCGUGGUAAUUCUAGAGCUAAUACAUGCUGGUAGGCCCGACUUUUGCGGAAGGGCGGUAUUUAUUAGAUAACAAGCCAAUAUUCCUCUGGUCUAUUGUGGUGACUCAUAAUAACUGAUCGAAUCGCAAGGCCUUUGGCCGCGAUAAGUCAUUCAAGUUUCUGCCCCAUCAGCUUUCGAUGGUAGUGUAUUGGACUACCAUGGCGUUUACGGGUAACGGAGGAUUAGGGUUCGAUUCCGGAGAGGGAGCCUGAGAAACGGCUACCACAUCUAAGGAAGGCAGCAGGCGCGUAAAUUACCCAAUCCUGACUCAGGGAGGUAGUGACAAGAAAUAACGGACCGAGGCCUUCGGGCUUCGGGAUUGGAAUGAGCCGAAUUUACACCCCUUAGCGAAGAUCGAUUGGAGGGCAAGUCUGGUGCCAGCAGCCGCGGUAAUUCCAGCUCCAAUAGCGUAUAUUAAAGUUGUUGCAGUUAAAAAGCUCGUAGUUGGAUUUCUGGGAGGGUGCCGAUGUCCACUUAACGUGUGCGCAGCGGCGCCCUCUCAUCCUUCUGUUAGCGUCUCUUGGCAUUCAUUUGCUGGUGGCGGGCUCAGAUAUUUUACCUUGAGAAAAUUAGAGUGUUUCAGGCAGGCUAGGCCGGAAUACAUUAGCAUGGAAUAAUGGAAUAGGACUACGGUCUCUUUGUUGGUUUGAGGGACUGCAGUAAUGAUUAAUAGGGAUAGUUGGGGGCAUUAGUACUUAACUGUCAGAGGUGGAAUUCUCAGAUUUGUUAAAGACUGACUUAUGCGAAAGCAUUUGCCAAGGAUGUUUUCAUUAAUCAAGAACGAAAGUUAGGGGAGCAAAGACGAUCAGAUACCGUCCUAGUCUUAACCAUAAACUAUGCC
rnacentral:rRNA from 1 species